rnacentral:misc_RNA from 1 species
UACGUAGGUGUCAAGCGUUAUCCGGAAUUACUGGGCGUAAAGGGCACGCAGGCGGGCUGAAGGGUCUGACGUGAAAGCUCCCGGCUUAACCGGGAGAGGUCGUUGGAAACUGUCAGUCUUGAGAGGGUGAGAGGAGAGCGGAAUUCCCGGUGUAGUGGUGGAAUGCGUAGAUAUCGGGAAGAACACCAGUGGCGAAAGCGGCUCUCUGGCACCUGUCUGACGCUGAGGUGCGAAAGCGUGGGUAGCGAACGGG